AGGUGUAGCCCUGGACGAAGGACGAGAAGAAGGCAAACACGCUGUUGAUGGAGAGGGAGAUGAGGAGCGUCUGCCGUCGGCCGAUCCGGUCGGCGAGGCCUCCCCACACGAAAGCCCCGACCAUCAUCCCCAGGCCUGGAUAACAGCAGCGGGACAUUUCAUUUAGUGGAAAACACCAGAACCGUUCAGCGGUGGACAGUUUUUUGGCAGCGAAAAGGACGAGUCGGUUACCGGCCCAGCGAAGAUGGAUGAGGAGAAACCACUCUCUGAAUAAACUGGCUUUGAUGGAAUCCCAGCACACUCACAGCUCCAUUUGUUCUCCUGACAGCAGGAGCUACACACAGCUCCUUCACCCGAGCACCGGUGCUGCCAGCUGCAGAGAGAGGCGAGUUGUAACUUGUGACGGGGCGAAUCUCUGUGGACGGACCGGAGCACGGUCCAAUCAGCCGGAGUAACGGGCAGAAAAUGAGAACACCAAACAGAGCAGCUCCCCUCGCUCCUCCUCCUGCUGUUGAAGGGUUCAGCUGUGUGAACACUCCUUUAAAAAGGGACUUUUAGUCUCUAGGCCACUAAAUGUUUAAUAACACACUGUGUCUGUGACUGUUGUGUUGUGCUGAGCGGUGGCUCAUUUACGAAAUAAAAUCAUGACGAAUAAAUUAUCUUCCAAAUCCAGCCCUUAAAGAGCAUAGAUACAUGAUCCACAGAUACACUAACAUGGACACAGCUAUUCUGGAUUAAGACAAUU